AUGUUGAAGUACCUUAAUAUUUUUUUUGCUAACCGAAGUGAAGGAUAAGCUGGACUUUCUCCACAUAAAGACGUUCACACCUACGAACAUUGACAAGUUGGUAAAAAGCCUGCAGUGCGAUCUAGAUUUGCACAUUGAUGAGAAAAAAGACAAGACUUCGGCAAAUAGGAAGUUGCUAAUAUCUACAAUCUGUGAGCUGAUCACCGCCCUCAAAAAGAU